AUUUUCAAGAAAUUGAAUUUGAGAUGGUACGUUUCCUGCAGAGGAGCUAUGAGUGAUUACCAUGACAUAUUUUUGAAGUCCUUUGCCUACACAUUAGAGCUUCCAGAUACGAAAAGGCUUCUAAUGCUACUGCACUCAUUCAACAGCAGGAUUUAAGGCGGAGAUUGCACACCGUGCUGAAGACAAGGACAGUUCAACAAAGUGACUUGGCAAUGAGAAGACAGCUCCAUCACUCCAUCACUUGACAUGCAACCAUGGGGACCUGAUUUCAUUCCCAGCAACCAUGUAAAAUCUGGGGUGGUAGCAUACACCUGUAAUCCUAGUAUUGAGGAGACAGAGACAGGAAGUUUCUUGCAGUAUUCUGUCAAGCCAGUCUAGCCAAUUCAGGAGCUCCAGGUUCAAUGAGAGACUUUUUCUCAAAGAACAAGGUGGAGAGAGAGAGAUUGAGAAAAACAUCAAACCUCCUCCUACACAUGCACACACACACACACACACACACACACGACAUACAGACAUAGACAAACAUGCACACACACAAGCAAUUGCAAUAAAUACUUAGCCAAAGUGAUAUAAGACAGCCUU